UGAACAUAUAUUUGCAUGUGGAUUGGGAAGGAAAUAAAUGGGACUUUGGAAAUAAUGGAAAUAUUUUUCUUAUGAAAGUUUUUCAUUAAAAAAUUUAUUUCUACUAUAAUUAUUCUGUUGGUUAGCUUUUAGUUUUCACUCCUUUUUCUGAUUCACACUCCUUUAGUGACCAAAUGAAUAUAACCCAACUUCUCAUACAUUGGGAAUGUCUGUUUAAUAUUAAAUAGUAUGUAAUUGAAUCUGCAAAUGCGGGAACUGAGAUGCCAUCUCCAUGUGCACACCUCUGCAUAUAAGUACUUGUAGCAUUUACUGUCACUUAAUUUGAUUGAACUUGAAAGAUAAAUUUGUAGAAUCUGGUUAGUGCCAUCAAUCUCCUUUGGAAGCUGCCAUCAGGUGAAUGCUAUCCUAUAAUACCAAUAGUAAGGCAGGAACUAUGUUCACCUGACUUAGUACCCAAGAGGAAAUUGACAGCAAUUCUAGAGAAUGAGUCAGAUACAGUGGAAAGAAUUCCAGCCUAGGAAGAAGGAGACCUGAAUACUAAUGGACUUUAUUACUAACUUGCAUUGUGACCCUAGGCAUAACCUUUCCAUGACUGUUUUCUCAUGUCAAAUAAGGGUGUUUGUGUAGCUGCUCUCCAGAGUCUUUCCAAAAGCUCUAACAUCCUGUGGUAUAAUAGGUUGCCUUUCACAUUCAAUCUUACAAUGUGAUGGCAAAUACCACAUGCCUAAGCCUGAAUCUCUUAUAUUUCAAUUAAAAAAUAGAACCAUGUAAGAUGGAAAAACUCAGUAGUACUAGAGAAUGUUGAUAAAACUUGUGGCAGACUUCCAGUUCAUUCACAAUGGUUUUGUUUUUGUUUUAAUGUCCUUUUUCUGGUGAGUAUUCCAGUUUUCAUUUUCCAUAUACUCUGUAUGUAAAGUCUGGUAUUCAUUAAGUUGUGGCCAGUAUUUGCUACUAGAACAGAAAUACACUGUCACAUUUGCUAGAAUAGAACUGUUUUGGGCCUCUCCUUUCCUAUGAAGCAGUGCUGGGCCUUAUAGAGUUAAAUUCUAAAGUGGCACAAGAUAGCAGACCCUGUGCAAAUUAAUGCCUGAGACUACAAAGAGGGGACCUAAGCACUUGCAAGAUUCAGAGAGAGAAAUGAAGAAGUAAUUGCAUACUUUUAGCAUUGUUGACAAAUUUACUUGUUGGAAACCAAAGAUAGUGUUUCUGAUGACAACUCUCACAGGGAUUGGCCAGUUGUAUGAGUAUGCUGUGGAAAGGGUAAACCAGAAGUUAGUUAGAGGAUGGUCCCACUUGCCUGCCUAUAGCAGAGUGCCAACCAGUCCUGAGUGUGAAAUUCAAGUUCAAUGUGUGUACUUUGUGUGGUGUGCUUUAUGGACCCGCAUAUACUAUAUUCAUUAAUGAUGAUAAGAUGUUUCACAGAAUCCAAUAACCAUUAGUGGGUUGAGUUUAAAAUCUCAAUACAUCAGCCAGUAGGAGCCAGAUCACAAGGAUACUGAUGUCUACUGAGAUUAUACUCAUAACUUCCAGAUAAAAUAAGUUGAGGAGGAUCUACAUUUUUCACUGUUUAUCGAAUUGUAUCUCAUUUGGUUGUGCAUUACUUUUGUCAAAAUGUGUUAUCUGUAAACCCAUGUGUAGUGAAAUUCUUCUGUAACUUUGGAUUAAAGGUCUUUUGGAUUAUGGUCUUUUGUUUGUUUGAUUUUUAAGUAAGUUAUUUCUUUUGUAGACAUGCUGAUGGUAUGGUUACAUCCUUAUGACCUCAGCAUCUGAUCUUUUAACGAUUUUUUUGUUUCCAAUAUUGUUACUUUACAUUGUGGUUGAAGCAAUAGAAAAUUGAAAUAUGGAUUGUGCAUGACUGUGUCUUGAGUGUAAAAAUAUUGCAGUUUGAAACUUGGAC
rnacentral:lncRNA from 1 species